UACGAAGGUGGCAAGCGUUACUCGGAAUUACUAGGCGUAAAGGGCAGGUAGGUGGUUCGGUAAGUCUGUUGUGGAAGCUCCCGGCUCAACUGGGAGAGGUCAACAGAAACUACCGGACUUGAGUAUAGGAGAGGGUACUGGAAUUCCCGGUGUAGCGGUGAAAUGCGCAGAGAUCGGGAGGAACACCAAUGGCGAAAGCAGGUACCUGGACUAUUACUGACACUCAGCUGCGAAAGCUAGGGGAGCAAACAGG
rnacentral:rRNA from 1 species